CCCCCCAUUCAUGUCCCAUCCUUUGAACUAAAUAUUUCUCCUCAUACGGAGAAGCCCUUCGGAUUCGAGCGUGCUCUCCAGAGAUUUUUAAACAUCGCUUCUUAGAGGUUUACGCUGCAUAUUCAAUUAGAUAUCCUGCAAAUAACAUUUGAAGCAGCAUACCCACCCUAAUCCGCUGACCACAAACGCUACCAUCACAAUAUGAAUAUAUAUAUAUUGUGUGACAAUAUUAUCAUGGGACAUCAAUUCCAGGUAUAUCGAGAGCGUCUCGCUUUGGGAAUCAGCCUGUUUAAGAAUCCGCAAGCAUAGUCUAGUAGACCUGCGCGAUCUCCCUCACGGAACCAUACUGUUUCGCACAUUAAAUCGAGCUUCCUAAG
rnacentral:sRNA from 1 species